rnacentral:tRNA from 1 species
UGCCGGGUCGUCUAAUGGUAGGACAUCAGAUUUUGGAUCUGACUAUCUUGGUUCGAAUCCAAGCCCGGCAG